rnacentral:lncRNA from 1 species
CACUGUGCACAAAUAAUGGGUUUGGUCCCGUGCACCACAGCAUUACCCUGGCCAGCUUUGUCCCUUGGCUCGCGUUGGAGCUGCCCGCUCAGCAGAGGAAGGCGUUAGAAUCUGGAAGGAGUUCCGCUCUGGGAAGUGGGCACACUGCGAGUGUCCAUAGGUUUGAGUGGCGAGUGAGUUCAAUCUGCAGGCGUAGGAAGGCUUCUGAUCUCUCGGGGAAUGAAGGAAGAAAAAUACAAGCAGAAGACUGUAUAUGAAAAUGAAUAAUAUUAAAAUGCCUUUUUGGAUUUUGUCUUUAGAAAUAAUAUUUGCACUACAAAGGUGUCCAAUAUUUUAUUAGUAUAGUUUAUUAGUAUAGUUUAUCUCUUUAAUGUAAAUAAUAAAGAGGACAUGGAUGUUUUAACAGAUAAUAAAUCUGUUAAAUAAGUCACAUAUGAUACAAUUUAUCCAUUUAAAAUGUGCAAUUCAAUGAUUUUUGUUAUAUUCAAGCACGUAUACAACCAAUACCACAGUCAAUUUUAGAACAUUUUCAUCUCAAGAGGAAAUCCUGUGUAACUUUACCUAUUAGCACUUCCCCUGCGCUAACUCACCCCAGCCCUAAGCAACUAUUUAUCUCCAUUCUACUUUCUAGAGAUUUUUUUUCUAUUCUUGACUUUGUAUAAAUUGAAAUCACAUAGUACAUGAUUAUUUGUGACUGGCUUCUUUCAUUUAGCAUAAUAUUUUCAAGGUUAAUUCAUGUUGUAGUAUUCAUUAGUAUUUCAUUUCUUUUGUGGCUGAACUAUGUUAGAUUGUAUGAAUAUAGACAGUUUAUUUUAUCAUUUCAUCCCUUGAUGGACAUUUGGAUUGUUUCAAGCUUUUGUAUAUUAUUAAUAAUAACGUUAUGAACAUUCCUAUGCAUUUUUCUUUGUAAAUGUAUAUUUUCAUUUCUCUUGGGUAUAUAAGUAGGAGUGGAAUUACUGGGUUGUAUUGUAGCUUUAUCUUUAAUCUUUUGAGGAAAUUUCAGACUCUUCCAAAGUAGCAGAGCCAUUUGGCAUUCUCAACAACAGGGUAUGAUGGUUCUGGCUUUUCCACAUUAUUAUGUCAACAGCUGUUGUUAUCUAAUUUUUAAAAUUGUAUUUAUCCUAGUGAGUGCAAAAUGAUAUCUCACUAUGGUUUGGAUUUGCCUUUAACUUUUUUUAUUCUAAAGUGUAUUUUACCUGAUAUUAGUAGCUUUCUUGUGAUUGUGAUUAGCAUGUUUUAUCAUUUUUCAUCUUUUUACUUUCAAUCUAUU